UACGUAGGGGCCUAGCGUUGUCCGGAUUUAUUGGGCGUAAAGAGCUCGUAGGCGGUUUGUUGCGUCGGCUGUGAAAUCCCGAGGCUCAACCUCGGGUCUGCAGUCGAUACGAGCAAACUAGAGUGUUGCAGGGGAGACUGGAAUUCCUGGUGUAGCGGUGAAAUGCGCAGAUAUCAGGAGGAACACCGGUGGCGAAGGCGGGUCUCUGGGCAACAACUGACGUGGAGGAAGCGAAAGCGUGGGGAGCGAACAGG
rnacentral:rRNA from 1 species